rnacentral:rRNA from 1 species
CAAAAACAUCGCCUCUUGCUAAAACCAAAAUAUAAGAGGUCUUACCUGCCCAGUGACAUUAAGUUAAACGGCCGCGGUAUUCUGACCGUGCUAAGGUAGCGCAAUCACUUGUCUUUUAAAUGAAGACCUGUAUGAAUGGUGGAACGAGGGCUUAACUGUCUCCCUUUUUAGGUCAGUGAAAUUGAUCUGUCCGUGCAGAAGCGGACAUGAAUAUACAAGACGAGAAGACCCUUUGGAGCUUAAGAUACAAGGCCAACUAUGUCAAAAAUCCCUAUAAAAAGGAAUAAAACAUAAUAAUAACUGACCAACGUCUUCGGUUGGGGCGACCACGGGGGAAAGAAAAGCCCCCAUGUAGAUUGGGAUAAACCUAAAACUACGAGGGACACCUCUAAGUCACAGAACAUCUGACUAAAUGAUCCGGCCUUACAGCCGAUCAACGAACUAAGUUACCCUAGGGAUAACAGCGCAAUCCCCUCCAAGAGUUCAUAUCGACAAGGGGGUUUACGACCUCGAUGUUGGAUCAGGACAUCCUAAUGGUGCAGCCGCUAUUAAGGGUUCGUUUGUUCAACGAUUAAAGUCCUACGUGAUCUGAG